CUGGUAAAGCCAUUUUGGGGACAUAUGUGGCUUCUAGUUCUGUGUUUUACACCUCAUCCGUAGGAGAUGCCCCUCUUUGCUUGGAGAGCAAAACUCUUCGCUUGAUAGGUUCUCUGAAUCUACAGAAAGCUGUCAGAGACUUCAACUCUGGUUCAGUCGCUCCAUUACCAUUGGCUUGAAUUAGAAAAUACAUCAGUCCUGUGUCCAACUCACAAAACUUAGACCCAGAAGGAAAAAUAAAUUCCUUGUGAGGUCAUCCCUCUAGUCUGAACACUAUCUGGUAGACUCCUUGAGCCACUAAAAUGGCAAAGAUCUUGGAUGUCUGCCCAGCUGUCAGACAGAAUGGAAGAGACAAGGAAAGUGGCCAGGAGCAGUGGCGCACAAGAACAUGGAGCCUGAACAGGAAAACAGAGGAGAUGGAACAGUGCUACAUAAUGAUUAGAGCAACUUACAUGGGACCAAAGAAAAGCACUUCUGUAUUCCAUCAAAAAGAGUGCCAGAAAAUCCAGGAACAGAGCUGGUGGCUUUUUUGUCUUGAAAAGCCAAAUAAAAAGUAAAGGAAUAGAAAAAAGUAGAGGCAGAGCUGAGAUGAUUGUAAGCUAUAUUUGGUAAAGUGAUCUGGGUGUGAGUAUGUGUCUGCAAAUUCUAGCUUGUUCCUCAGUUCUCGACACUUCCUCAGUCUGCAUUCACAGCCAGCAGUCUGAUUACUGACCUUUAUAGAAAGAAGUCUGCUGAGAUGGGGAAAUUUCAACAGUUCACUUAGCAAGCUUGACGCAGAGGGGAUCCUUCUUUCUGCAGUUUCAGAUGGGCUAGUUACUUAUCUGAAGGGAGUUAAGAGGUCCAGCAACUCUUGAAUCCUCAUCCUGUGAGCUUGAGAUGUGUUUUCCAAGAAGGUUCUUUUUAGGCGUUUGAAAUAUUGAGAGCAUACCGCCAUGUUUAUUUGAUUUUAUUCCUUCAUUUUUCUAAAAAGCAAUUUGAUACAUUUGUAUUUCUUUCUGGAUAAAAUCAUGUGAAAUUAUUUUAUAUUGCUUGACAGACUGCAUUGUUAACCCUCAUAGUAUGUAAUGUGUGUCAAAGAAUGCAUUACAUACAGUGCACAUUUAUUGGAUACACUGUAGUCUCUUAAAAUACGGGUAAAAGCUGCCUUAAGCAUCAAAAUAUCUCUGUUCUUCCAAGAGCAAAAGAUAUUGUGUUAUUGCCUGUUGGUUUGAGAGAUACAGUUUAAACACUUACUUUACAUAAAAAUACAUAUAAAAUAGAGCCCAUUUUUGGAUCACCUUUGAUCUGUAAGUGGUACCAAAAGGAAUAGAUUUUAUGGGGAACUCACCUAUUCUUGAUCAAGGUGGUUGGUUAUUCACAUAUUUUUACAAAAUGUAAAUAUUUUGUUCAUUGCUUAAGAAUAAGAGAAGUUUCCAUAAAGGUGUGUGAUGUCAGUUUUCUUUUUAAGAAGUUUUUUCUGACUUGCUAAAGUCUUCUGUAUCUGCAUAAUUUCUCCCCCAGUCCUUUCAGCUAAAAACCUAAUUGAAGCUGAUGUCCACCAGGGAGCAUUCAUGAACCUGUAGAUCAAGGUUCUAUAGGCACUUCCAUGAUCAGAGCAAAAUCUUUGUUGGUUUAAGUUAGAUCUUGUACAUUAUAGGAGCCACAAUAUGGUAGGGUUGGCUGAGUCUAUAUUUCCAAUUUUUCUUUGCUGAGAACUCUCAUAAAAACUCAUAUCUUUUGAAAAAAAUCCCAAUAAUUCCCAGGUCUGGAUUAUGUUCUGGUUAUGCUCCUGAAAGCACAAACAUUUUUCUGCCCAUAAUUAGUGGGGGAGACUUAGGCUGAUAAUGGCUUAUUUAAAAAUUGUAUGCUCUAUAGAUAUUUAAAAAUUAUAUAGAUCUAAAAAUUUUACAUGUAUGUUGCUGAAAUCAUAUGUAUGAUGCUAAAACAUUUGUAUAUUCAUACACCCAUGUGUCUAAAAGAGGUGGUCUUUUAAGAAAAAUACUUUCCCAAACCAUGAGCUGAGCAUCGCUUUGUGGAUUGUAUGUCUAGUCACUUUCUGUGUAUAGACAAGUUUCCAUAUGCCAGAGAAAUAGAACUACUUCCAGGAACAUGAAUUUCACUGAGAGUUCUUUUCUGGAAUAUUUACAAUGUGGUCAUGCAUCUGUGUUAAGUUAGAUCUGAAAAUUUUCUGCCAGUAUAAGAAAUCUUAAAAUCUAAGAUGCUAGUACCAUUUUUUUACAUCCCAGAUUGAUUUUUAGAUAUCAGUUCAGGCUUUUUAUUACUAGGAUUCUUCACUCUAUUGUUUUUUUAAUGCCUUCUAUGCAGAUGUAAUUGUUUUCAUUAAAUAUGAUAGAAAUGAUAUACUAAAUGAUUUUGAAAAAUUGGUAUAAAAUGAAUCCUUGCUUGGGGAAAAUAUGUCACAUACACAUAGAGAACAAUUUUUAAACAUUUGCAAGCAUACCGGGUCUAUGAAGAAUUCUGUGUAAGUACAAUUGUGUAACGUUUCCUUUAGCUUCUCUUCAGUAAGUGAUGUUGGAUUUACUGAUUUCUGCAGCCCAGUGGGGAUCUGGGAUUAUAGACCUCAAAUCAUAGUUCUAUAUGGAAGGCUUCUUAAUGAAUUAGAUUUUCAAUAAA